rnacentral:tRNA from 2 species
GCGUGCGCGGCGACGCGGGAGUGUCGCACCUGGCUGUAAACCAGAGGCCUUCAGGCACAGGGGGUUCGAAUCCCUCCGCACGCACCG